AGAUUGAACGCUGGCGGCAGGCCUAACACAUGCAAGUCGAGCGGUAGAGAGGUGCUUGCACCUCUUGAGAGCGGCGGACGGGUGAGUAAUGCCUAGGAAUCUGCCUAGUGGUGGGGGAUAACGUUCGGAAACGACGCUAAUACCGCAUACGUCCUACGGGAGAAGCGGGGACCUUCGGGCCUCGCGCCAUUAGAUGAGCCUAGGUCGAUUAGCUAGUUGGUGAGGUAUGCUCACCAAGGCGACGAUCCGUAACUGGUCUGAGAGGAUGAUCAGUCACACUGGACUGAGACACGGUCCAGACUCCUACGGAGCAGCAGGUAGGGGAAUAGUUGGACAAGUGGGACGUAAAGCCGUAGA
rnacentral:rRNA from 1 species